GGAAUCUUCCACAAUGGACGAAAGUCUGAUGGAGCAACGCCGCGUGAGUGAAGAAGGGUUUCGGCUCGUAAAACUCUGUUGUUAAAGAAGAACAUAUCUGAGAGUAACUGUUCAGGUAUUGACGGUAUUUAACCAGAAAGCCACGGCUAACUACGUGCCAGCAGCCGCGGUAAUACGGAGGGUGCAAGCGUUAAUCGGAAUUACUGGGCGUAAAGCGCACGCAGGCGGUCUGUUAAGUCAGAUGUGAAAUCCCCGGGCUUAACCUGGGAACUGCAUUUGAAACUGGCAGGCUUGAGUCUCGUAGAGGGGGGUAGAAUUCCAGGUGUAGCGGUGAAAUGCGUAGAGAUCUGGAGGAAUACCGGUGGCGAAGGCGGCCCCCUGGACGAAGACUGACGCUCAGGUGCGAAAGCGUGGGGAGCAAACA
rnacentral:rRNA from 1 species